AUUCCAGCUCCAAUAGCGUAUAUUAAAGUUGUUGCGGUUAAAAAGCUCGUAGUUGGAUUUCUGUUGAAGGCAGCCGGUCCGCACUUGGUGCGUGUAUCUGGUUUGACUUCGGCAUCCUCUCAAAAUACGUUUCUGCGCUUGAUUGCGUGGAGCGGAGUUUGGGACUUUUGCUUUGAGGAAAUUAGAGUGUUCACGGCAGGCAAUCGCCUUGAAUAUAUUAGCAUGGAAUAAUAAUAUAGGAUCUUGGUUCUAUUUUGUUGGUUUCUAGAGCUAAGAUAAUGAUUAAUAGGGACAAUUGGGGGCAUUCGUAUUAGAGCGUCAGAGGUGGAAUUCUUGGAUUGCUCUACGACGAACUACUGCGAAAGCAUUUGCCAAGGAUGUUUUCAUUA
rnacentral:rRNA from 1 species